CCGCACUAGUGAUUAGAGUUUGAUCAUGGCUCAGAUUGAACGCUGGCGGCAUGCCUUUACACAUGCAAGUCGAACGGCAGCACGGGAGCAAUCCUGGUGGCGAGUGGCGAACGGGUGAGUAAUACAUCGGAACGUGUCCUGUAGUGGGGGAUAGCCCGGCGAAAGCCGGAUUAAUACCGCAUACGACCUACGGGUGAAAGCGGGGGAUCGCAAGACCUCGCGCUAUUGGAGCGGCCGAUAUCAGAUUAGCUAGUUGGUGGGGUAAAAGCUCACCAAGGCGACGAUCUGUAGCUGGUCUGAGAGGACGACCAGCCACACUGGGACUGAGACACGGCCCAGACUCCUACGGGAGGCAGCAGUGGGGAAUUUUGGACAAUGGACGCAAGUCUGAUCCAGCCAUGCCGCGUGCGGGAAGAAGGCCUUCGGGUUGUAAACCGCUUUUGUCAGGGAAGAAAAGUCUGGGGCUAAUACCCUCGGACGAUGACGGUACCUGAAGAAUAAGCACCGGCUAACUACGUGCCAGCAGCCGCGGUAAUACGUAGGGUGCAAGCGUUAAUCGGAAUUACUGGGCGUAAAGCGUGCGCAGGCGGUUCUAUAAGACAGAUGUGAAAUCCCCGGGCUCAACCUGGGAACUGCAUUUGUGACUGUAGAGCUGGAGUACGGCAGAGGGGGAUGGAAUUCCGCGUGUAGCAGUGAAAUGCGUAGAUAUGCGGAGGAACACCGAUGGCGAAGGCAAUCCCCUGGGCCUGUACUGACGCUCAUGCACGAAAGCGUGGGGAGCAAACAGGAUUAGAUACCCUGGUAGUCCACGCCCUAAACGAUGUCAACUGGUUGUUGGGAAGGUUCCUUCUCAGUAACGUAGCUAACGCGUGAAGUUGACCCGCCCAGCUCUCCGAGUUUGAUCCUGGCUCAGGGUCAGCUUAACGCGUGAAGUUGACC
rnacentral:rRNA from 1 species